ACGGGAGGCAGCAGUGAGGAAUAUUGGUCAAUGGGCGGAAGCCUGAACCAGCCAUGUCGCGUGCAGGACUACGGCCCUACGGGUCUUAAACUGCUUUUGCAAGGGGAUAAAGUGGGGCACGCGUGCCCCUUUGCAGGUACCUUGCGAAUAAGGAUCGGCUAACUCCGUGCCAGCAGCCGCGGUAAUACGGAGGAUCCGAGCGUUAUCCGGAUUUAUUGGGUUUAAAGGGUGCGCAGGCGGCACGUUAAGUCAGCGGUGAAAUGUCGGGGCUCAACCCGGGCACUGCCGUUGAAACUGGCGAGCUUGAGUACGGAUGAAGUCGGCGGAAUGUGAUGUGUAGCGGUGAAAUGCUUAGAUAUGUCACAGAACACCGAUUGCGAAGGCAGCUGACUAAUCCGCAACUGACGCUCAGGCACGAAAGCGUGGGGAUCGAACAGGAUUAGAUACCCUGGUA
rnacentral:rRNA from 1 species